GGCCUAUUGAAAUGGCUGUGAAGCGCGGAGGUGUUGAUUCUUGAUCACUUGAAUACCUAUGCUGAUAUAAAAAUGUGACUUUAUAGCCGUACGACGACAAAGGGCAGUUGGAGUUCUGAUAAAUUGAAAUCUGUCCUCGUAGCAGUUUCUGAAGGAACGCAUAUCAGGAAAAGUGCCAAAAUGUUUGGAAUCCCAGAAAGUACAUUGCGAAGAAGAAUGAAAGCAAAUAAUGUAUCUAAAACAGUGCUGGGCAGAAGGUGCUACUUUUCUGUCGAACAAGAAAGACAUAUCGCAGAGCGCAUUUUAAAGAUGUGUAAUAUUUUUUACGGAGUUACACCUGAACAAUGUAGAAAAAUGGCAUUCGAACUAGCAGAAAAAAGCAACAUCAAGAAUCAAUUCAAUAAAAAUGAGAGGAUUGCUGGCAAAGCGUGGUUAGAAGGUUUUUUGAAACGUAAUCCAUCUGUUACCUCAAGAAAGUCUGAAGCAUUAAGUAUAAAUAGAAUAUGAGGCUUCAAUAAAGUCGAAGUAUUGAGAUUCUACACAAAUCUGCAGCAACUUAUGGAUACUUAUCACUUCCCAGCGAGUAGAAUAUUUAAUAUGGAUGAAACUGGAAUUUCAACGGUUCAGGAAACUGACAGAGUUUUGGCUCCGGGGGCAAAAUGUGUUGCUUCUAUCACAUCAGGAGAAAGAGGGAGAACUACAACGGUUAUUUGUGCAAUGAGCGCAAGUGGAAUCUAUAUGUAUACCGCCUAUGUUCAUUUUUUGUGGACAAAGAAUUUCCUACGUAUAUGGAAGACAUGCACCUGAAGGAUCUAUAAUAAAAUGCACUCGAAAUGGCUGGACUAAUGAAGAGAUGUUUAUGAUUUGGCUACAACAUUUCGCU